CUCCAAUAGCAUAUAUUAAAGUUGUUGCAGUUAAAAAGCUCGUAGUUGGAUUUCUGGCAUGAUGCGCCUGGCCUGCGUGAUUAUGCGUGUGUGUGCUAGUGCGCGUCUGCCAUCCAUUUGCAGAAUAUGUCUACCUUAAUUGGGCCGGAUAUGUGAUGUAAAUCUUUUACUUUGAAAAAAUUAGAGUGUUUAAGCAGGCA
rnacentral:rRNA from 1 species